UACGGAGGGUGCGAGCGUUGUCCGGAAUCACUGGGCGUAAAGGGCGCGUAGGUGGCCUGUGGAAGUCUGCGGUGAAAGCCCGGCGCUCAACGCCGGGUCGGCCGUGGAUACUCUCGGGCUCGAGCUUACUAGAGGCAGAUGGAAUUCCGGGUGUAGCGGUGGAAUGCGUAGAGAUCCGGAAGAACACCGGUGGCGAAGGCGGUCUGCUGGGGUAAUGCUGACACUGAUGCGCGACAGCGUGGGGAGCAACACGG
rnacentral:rRNA from 1 species